GGGCCGGUGGUCUCCCCGGCGCCUCUGGGCGGGGCCCGGUUCUCCCGGAGGACGGGGCGGGGUCGCGGGCCCGAGCGCCGCUCCCUGCGUAGCCUCCGCCCCCCGCGGCGGCCCCGCCCCCGUCGCCAUGGGAACAGCCGCGGCGGCCCGGCUGGCGCGGAGCUCGCCUGCCUCGGUCUCCGCCGCUCCAGGGGCGGGUGGGGUGGGCAGAGUCCGGGCCGCCGCCGCGGCCACCGGGGAGAGACCAGGAGCGGGUGCGGGUCCCGGAAGAGAGCGCGGCUGCCGGCCGCUUGGUCCCGGUCCCGGUCGAGGCCAGGGGCGCGCGGCGAUGUGAGCCAUGAGCGCGACGUGGACGCUGUCCCCCGAGCCGCUGCCGCCAUCGACGGGGCCCCCGGUAGGCGCGGGCCUGGACGCGGAGCAGCGCACCGUGUUCGCCUUCGUGCUGUGCCUGCUCGUGGUGCUGGUGCUGCUGAUGGUUCGCUGCGUGCGUAUCCUGCUCGACCCCUACAGCCGCAUGCCCGCCUCGUCCUGGACAGACCACAAGGAGGCGCUCGAGCGCGGGCAGUUCGACUACGCGCUGGUCUGAGCGGUGCGGCGCCCUCGGCCGGCCCUCCGCGGGGUCUCUCUCCCGGGGCCGAUCCGACGGUGCGCCGCCGGGCCUGGACCGCGCUCAGGAUCCUGCCCCCGAGCCCGCAGCCCGAGGGGGGAGGGCGUCAGGAUAAGUCCAACCCCUCCCCCCUCACACCCCUCCCAUCUUCCCUCCUGGCCAGGCCGGAGCCCCACUUCGUGCCUUUAUCCCGCCCUGUCCUCUCUCCGUAACUCACCGGCCCGGCUGGCCCCCGACUCUAAAGCCUGGGUGGGAAGAGGACGCCCGCCCCUCCGCCCCCAGCGUGUAGGUGGCUCUGCUACUGCCCUGCCGCCGAGCAUGAGUGUCAUGUCCGCUCCCGGGUUCGGGGACCCCCGUGUCCCUUCCCCUCCCUCCCCUGUCCUCUGGCCAUCCUCACUCCCCCGCCGCCCGCCCCCGCCAAGUGUUGAGCCCCUCCUCGGGCUCCGGGCCUGCGGGCUCUCCUGGGCCCAUGAGGUGGACGCUGCAUACCAAUAUGACCUGCGGGGCCUGCUCCGGAGACAGUGACUGAAGAGCGACGAUGGCUGCUGUGUCCAGGAUGCGAGGCUUCUUCCAUGGGGGGGAGAGGGCAGACAGGCUCCCUCCCGCCCCCAGCCCAGGCCCCAGUUCAGGACCCUGUUAGCAUCCUCAUUCUACAGGCCGGGGGACUCGGGUCCAGGCAGGUUGAGUGACCUGCCUAUAGCUGGCUUCUAGCCAGGCUAGAAUUUGAACCCAGGGCUGACUUCUGCACACUCUUAACAGCUGCCCAGGGCUGCGAAACACCCAGAUGUACACUCUGGGGGACCAAGGCAUAAUCCAUCCCCCUCGCUCCAGGAACAGCCAGGACCACCCUUCUUUCCCUUGACUUGAGGAGACUCUGGGGGCCGUGGAAUGGACUUGGGCUAGUAGGGAGCCUGGAUGGGGUGCCCUCAGCCAGCCCUGGAGGUUGUCUCCAAGAACUGGCACGGCCUUCUGGUACUGUGACCACACCCGCAGCCCCAAACCUCUCUGGCCUGGUCCCUCUGUCCCACCAUCAGCAUGUGCACUUUGGACACCAAGGGGCUGGUGCUGUGAGUCCUUGGGCAUGGAGUGGGCUGGCUCCGCUCCACGGCCCGCCUGCGAGAUGUGUUGUGCGCCCCCGGGGGGAGCCGUGUGCAGUGUGUGUGGGGAGAGACGAGCGUGGCUAUAAAAGGAAGGCUGUGUGAAUGCACAGGCUCUGCGAA